UUGGCUCAUUACAACAGCCGUUGUUUCUUGGAUCUUACUUUACUUGGAUAACUGUGGUAAUUCUAGAGCUAAUACAUGCAACCAAGCUUCGACCUCAGGGAAGGAGCGCAUUUAUUAGACCAAGACCAAUCAGAUUCGUCUGAAACUUGGUGACUCUGAAUAACUUUGCUGAUCACACGGUCCUAGCACCGGUGACAUAUCUUUCAAGUGUCUGCCCUAUCAACUUUCGAUGGUAGUUUAUGUGCCUACCAUGGUUGUAACGGGUAACGGAA
rnacentral:rRNA from 1 species